rnacentral:misc_RNA from 1 species
GAAAUGCGAUAAGUAAUGUGAAUUGCAGAAUUCCGUGAAUCAUCGAAUCUUUGAACGCACAUUGCGCCCCCUGGCAUUCCGGGGGGCAUGCCUGUCCGAGCGUCAUUUCUGCCCUCAAGCACGGCUUGUGUGUUGGGUGCGGUCCCCCCGGGGGCCUGCCCGAAAGGCAGCGGCGACGUCCGUCUGGUCCUCGAGCGUAUGGGGCUUUGUCACUCGCUCGGGAAGGACUGGCGGGGGUUGGUCACCACCACAAAAUUUUACCACGGUUGACCUCGGAUCAGGUAGGAGUUACCCGCUGAACUUAA